rnacentral:rRNA from 1 species
GCGUUGUUCGGAAUUACUGGGCGUAAAGCGCACGUAGGCGGAUCAGAAAGUAUGAGGUGAAAUCCCGGGGCUCAACCCCGGAACUGCCUUGUAAACUCCUGGUCUUGAGUUCGAGAGAGGUGAGUGGAAUUCCGAGUGUAGAGGUGAAAUUCGUAGAUAUUCGGAGGAACACCAGUGGCGAAGGCGGCUCACUGGCUCGAUACUGACGCUGAGGUGCGAAAGUGUGGGGAGCAAACAGGAUUAGAUACCCUGGUAGUCCACGCCGUAAACGAUGUCGAUUUGGAGGCUGUGUCCUUGAGACGUGGCUUCCGUAGCUAACGCGUUAAAUCGACCGCCUGGGGAGUACGGCCGCAAGGUUAAAACUCAAAUGAAUUGACGGGGGCCCGCACAAGCGGUGGAGCAUGUGGUUUAAUUCGAUGCAACGCGAAGAACCUUACCUGGCCUUGACAUGUCUGGAAUCCUGUAGAGAUACGGGAGUGCCUUCGGGAAUCAGAACACAGGUGCUGCAUGGCU